rfam:Pseudoalteromonas citrea DSM 8771 strain NCIMB 1889 contig167, whole genome shotgun sequence.
UAGGCUGGAGACGAGCUAGCACAAGAUAGCGAAGUCAUGUGAUCUAACGGCCACCGUAAAUGAUGUAGUUGUGCAGAGAAAGUCGAUGCU